ACAAAUUUAAACUGCUCAAAAAUGACAUAUUUGCCAUGCCUUGAGGAAUAACACCAGAGAGUCUAUUCAUGGAGAGAUCAAGAGACUCCAGUGAUGUCAUGACCCCAAUCUUCACAGGAAUCUUCCCUUGGAGAUGGUUAUUAGACAGGUUCAAGAAUAUCAUGAUAGAAUAAAUGUGGACCGACAAUAUAUUAAACAUUGUCUAGGAUUAAGCUAUCUUUUAACAUGCAAUUUCUGAUUUAAUCUUGAGUAUGGGCCACCUAAUGUGUAGAGCCCAAUGCCAUCACGGGCUUUAGAUGAUGGGCCUAAGGCCCGUGAGGCCCAAUAACCAAUGGGUAUGGUCCCUAAGGCAGGAGGGUAUAAAAGGGCUUUGACUUGUGUCUUUUGUUAUCAUCACAUCUUUUGAAAAGAACUUAACCGCUCUCUCUCCCGCUCCCAUUGCCUGAGAGAAUCCAGAGGUGGUGCCCUCCAUCAGUCUUAGAAGAUUCAUACCGUCUUCAUCAAAACGUCAAAUAUGGAUUCAGGUUGGAUCUCUAUCCAAAGAUAAAAGAUCAAAGGAAUGUUUUAUGAAUGCUUGAUAUACAUAUAUCAUGUUUUGUGUUUUGGGUGAUAAUGGAUUUAGAAAUCUAACAAUUGGUAUCAGAGCCCGGUUCCAUUUUCACCAAAACCCACAUUCUAGAUUUUCCUUUUCUCGUUGGGAAUUAAAAAAAAAAAAAAAAAAUUUGGAGGCGCCGUUCAGGCGCGAUUUGGUGGCGGUCACUGCGACAUCAUUCUCUGCGUGGUGUCGGGGAAUGGAAGACGCCAUUGCAAGCGCCUGUCUUGGCGCUGUUCAGGCGCACCACUGCAGCGCCUUUAGGCACCAUUAGGGUGCCCUCCCAGAGGCAUCGGAGCGCGCAUCAGUGCCAUUGAUGGUGCGCUGGAGCACCAUUGAAGGGCGCUGGAGCGCCAUGGAAGGGUGCUGGAGCGCCGUUCAGGCGCGCUGGUGGUACGCUGUUCAGGCGCGCAGGUGCGGGCCACUGGUGCGUCGUUCAGGCGCGCAGGUGCGGGCCACUGGUGCGCCGUUCAGGCGCGCUGGUGGCUGUUGGUGCGCACUGGUGCACCUUUGGUGCGCCACUGGUGCGCCUUUGGUGAGUCGCUGCAGGGUUCCUGCAAAUAUCACUUCUCAGAUGCAUCCCAUUUUGUGGCACAGUUUAUUAAUAAUAAAAGGAUCCCAUAUGCAUCCAUUUUAUGGAACGGUUUAAUAAUAAUAAAAGGUCUUGGAUGUAUCCCAUUUUGUGGCAUAGUAUAAUAAUAUUAUAUAUAUAUAUAUAUAUAUAUAUAUAUAUAAAUAUAUAAUGCCCUUACAUGUUUGAGAAUUUUUUUUGCUACUGUGGGCAUCAGUGCCCUUAAUUGCAAUGAUUAUUUAUUUAUUUUUGUUUGGGCUGAAGUAAAUAAACAAAAACAAAAGUGAAUAUAUAUAUAUAUAUACAUGCUACUAUGCAUCAAUUGAUAUCUAUGGGUUUAUGCAUAAAUACAUAAAUAAAUAAUUUUAAUUAAAUUAUAUUUUGCUAAAUUUGUGUUUUAUAUUUUAAAAUAAAUGAAUUGUGUAUGUCAGUUGCCAAAGUAACUUAUAUUAUAUAAUUUAUUUAUUUUAUAAUAUGUAAACAUGUUAUUGUUAUUUAAAAUAAUCGGCCCAAAGGAAGAUUAUUUUAAUAUAGUCAUAGAUAAAGAAAUCAUAAAUAUAUGACAUAUAAUGUUUACCUUGCAUUUGAUAUGUUAGUCCAAAGACAAACAUAUUGUUUUCGAUUUUAUUGUCAAUAUUUAUGAAUUAAUUUUGUAUAAAGAUACCAAUUACAAAUUAAUAUUUUUGUCCAAAGACUGAAUAUUAAUGUUUGUGCUAGGUAUUUUAUAUGAUGUUAUUUAUUCAUGUAUGUAUGAUGCUUAUGUGACUAAUUGUGAGCUUUAUUAUUAUGAAUUCAGCAUCUUCUAUAUCUGCAAAUGUUAAUAACAUUCCUGUGCUUAACGGCACAAAUUUCAAGAAAUGGAAAGAGCACGUUAUAAUUGUGCUCGGGUGCAUGGAUUUAGACUUUGCAUUAAGGGAGGAUCGCCCAUCAGAUCUUACUAGUGCCAGCACUGCUGAGCAAAGGUCUACUAUGGAAAAAUGGGAACGAUCCAAUCGCAUGAGUCUAAUGAUUAUGAAGCACUCAAUUCCAGAAGCAAUAAGGGGUGCAAUACCUGAGGAAACCCAAGCCAAGGCAUUCUUGGACCAGAUAGCAAACCGAUUCGCUGCAAACGAAAAGGUUGAGACAAGCACUAUUCUUAGUAAGCUUGUCUCUAUGCGGUAUAAAGGGAAAGAGAAUAUCAGGGAGUACAUUAUGGAAAUGUCUAAUCUUGUGACGAGACUCAAGGCACUAAAGUUAGAGUUGUCGGAAGACAUACUCGUGCACUUAGUCUUGAUCUCUCUGCCUACACAAUUCAGUCCAUUCAAAAUCAGUUACAAUACACAAAAGGAAAAAUGGACUUUGAAUGAGCUUAUUGCUCAAUGUGUGCAAGAGGAAGAGAGAUUGAAGCAAGAAAAGAUAGAAAAUGCUUACUUGGCUUCCACAUCUCAGGGAUUUGGUACCAACAAGAAAAGAAAGAGGGACAAUAAAGGAAAACAAACUGCAGUUUCUGGGACAUCAAAGCAAAAGGAGCAAAAGAAACAAGAUAAGGAGAUCACUUGUUUCUUUUGCAAGAAGGCUGGUCAUAUGAAGAAGACAUGUACCAAAUACGCUGCUUGGCGUGAAAAGAAAGGUACACUUCUCAACUUUGUUUGUUCAGAAAUUAAUUUAGCUGUAGUGCCUACUGACACUUGGUGGAUAGAUACGGGUGCAACUACUCACAUAAGUGUCACUAUGCAGGGUUGUCUAAGGAGCCGAAUGCCAACUGAUGGUGAAAGAUACAUCUAUGUGGGAAAUGGCAACAAGGCUGCAGUCAAGGCUAUUGGUCUUUUCAGAUUACAGUUAGACUUUGAAUGUACAUUGGAUUUGGAAGAGACUUUUGUAGUACCGUCGUUUAGACGGAAUUUAAUUUCUGUUUCAUGUUUGGACAAAUUUGGAUAUUGUUGUUCAUUUGGAAAUGGAAUGGUUAGUCUUUAUCUAAAUUCAAAUAUUAUUGGUACAGGUAGUCUAACAGACAAACUAUAUAAAUUGAACAUAAAGGCCACUAAUGGAAAUGAAACCUUGCAUUCAAGUAAUUAUGGCAUUAAGCGAAAAUUAAUGAAUGAGAAUUCAUCAAUGUUAUGGCACAGGCGUUUGGGUCAUAUUUCAAAUCAACGAAUACAAAGACUUGUGUCAGAUGGAAUUCUCGAUCCACUUGAUUUCUCAGACUUUCAAGUCUGUAUAGAGUGCAUUAAAGGAAAACAAACAAAUAUGAAGAAAAAGAAUGCCAAUAGGUGCAGUGACGUCUUGGAAUUGAUACAUACAGACAUUUGUGGUCCAUUUCCUACUCCUUCAUGGAAUGGACAACAAUAUUUUAUCACUUUCAUUGACGAUUACUCGCGUUAUGGCUAUCUUUAUUUGAUUAAUGAAAAGUCUCAGUCAUUGGAUGUGUUCAAGAAUUUCAAAGCUGAAGUUGAGAACCAACUAAGCAAGAAAAUAAAGGUCGUCAGAUCUGACCGUGGAGGUGAAUACUAUGGUAGAUAUGACGGAUCAGGUGAACAACGUCCAGGUCCAUUCGCCAAAUAUUUGAUGGAGUGUGGUAUCGUUCCUCAGUACACCAUGCCAGGGACUCCGAGCCAAAAUGGUGUAGCAAAGAGGCGAAACCGUACUCUUAAGGAUAUGGUAAGAAGUAUGAUCAGUCAUUCCACCUUACCAGAAUCACUUUGGGGCGAAGCCAUUAAAACUGCAGUUUAUAUUUUGAAUAGAGUACCAAGCAAAGCAGUAGCCAAAACCCCAUAUGAGUUAUGGACUAGCAAGAAACCUAGUAUUAGGCACUUGCAUGUCUGGGGUUGUCCAGCUGAAGCUAGGCCUUACAAGCCAAAUGAAAAGAAAUUGGACUCCAGAACAGUGAGCUGCUACUUUGUAGGGUAUUCUGAAAGGUCAAGAGGUUUCAAAUUUUAUGAUCCCUCAACUAGAUCCUUCUUUGAAACGGGCAAUGCUAAGUUCAUUGAGGAUGUUGUGUUAAGUGGGAGAGAGCCAUUCAGAAAAGUGGUCUUUGAAGAGGAAUUUGUUAAUAUUCCUAUUAUUACGACUGGACAUGGUCAUAUUAUGUUUAAUGACACUAUUCAGAAUGUACAGUCGAUAACAGGGAUUCAAGACACACCUGAGAUUCCUCCUGCUCAAGUUAUGGAACCAAUUCAAGUUCAUCAAGAGGUAACUCAACAACCUCAAGAACCUCAAGUACAAGUGCCACUAAGGAGAUCCACUAGAGAAAGGAGAAGUACAAUUUCAGAUUAUUAUGUUGUAUAUCUCCAAGAACAUGAGUUUGACAUGGGUCUGGAAGACGAUCCAAUUUCAGUAAGUCAAGUCAAACAAAGUUCUAAUUCUGAAAAGUGGAUAGAAGCCAUGAAAGAUGAGAUGAAAUCAAUGAAAGACAAUGGUGUUUGGGACCUAGUAGAGUUGCCUAAAGGUGUAAAACCGAUUAGUUGUAAAUGGAUUUUUAAAACCAAGCGGGAUUCAAAAGGCAAUAUUGUUAGGUAUAAGGCACGCCUAGUUGCAAAAGGUUUCACUCAAAAGGAAGGCAUUGAUUAUAAGGAGACAUUUUCACCAGUUUCAUCAAAGGACUCCUUUAGAAUCAUCAUGGCACUUGUAGCUCAUUAUGAUUUAGAGCUACAUCAAAUGGACGUUAAAACUACAUUUCUUAAUGGCAACAUUGAUGAGACAAUAUACAUGGUGCAACCGGAGAACUUUGAGUCUAAUGAUUCAAAGCAACUUGUAUGCAGAUUAAAAAGGUCCAUAUAUGGUUUAAAGCAAGCAUCCCGACAAUGGUACCGAAAGUUUGAUCAAGUGAUUACUUCAUUUGGUUUUAAAGAGAACACUGUUGAUCAAUGCAUAUACCUUAAGUUCAGUGGGAGCAAAUUCAUUAUCUUGGUGUUAUAUGUUGAUGAUAUUCUACUUGCAAGCAGUGAUGUGGGACUUUUGCAUGAAACCAAGCGAUUUCUGUCUAGUAAAUUUGACAUGAAGGAUCUUGGUAAUGCAUCUUUUGUGCUGGGUAUACAGAUCCAUAGGGAUCGUUCNNNNNNNNNNNNNNNNNNNNNNNNNNNNNNNNNNNNNNNNNNNNNNNNNNNNNNNNNNNNNNNNNNNNNNNNNNNNNNNNNNNNNNNNNNNNNNNNNNNNAACCAUUGAGAAUCAACUGUGAUAAUAAGGCCGCAGAAUUAUAUUCUAAGAACAACCGAAGUUCGUCAAAGUCCAAACACAUUGACAUCAAGUUCUUGGUUGUGAAAGAGAGAGUUCAGAGUCUUCAAGUAUCGAUUGAACACAUAAGCACAAACUCCAUGAUUGCUGAUCCGCUCACUAAGGGUUUGUCACCCAAAGUAUAUCAUGAGCACGUCGCACAUAUGGGUGUUGUACACAUUGAUGAUGUGUCGGAAUAGUGGGAGUUUGUAUAUUGAUUUUGUGUUUAUUCUCUUGAUGUGAUAUUAUGUUGUGUUAUCUGUACAGACCUUGAUUUUAAAGACUAUUGUAUUUGAACACUCUGAAUUGAAAUGAUGACUUUCAGAAGCAGUUUAGCAUCAAGUGUUGAAAGUGUUAUUUGACUAUCUUUUAGUCAUAAAACAGGACCAAUUGGAAAUAGACAUAUUAAAGAUCAUAUUUUAUGUAAUUUCCAUGCUACACAUCCAUACUUGAUCCAUGUUGCUAAUUUUGUUGAUGUUGUGAUUGAUGAUAGGUCAAGUUAUAAUUAUGAUUAACGAAGGCCGCUUUAAUCCUAUGUUAGCAUAAUUAGUAGACCGGAUUGUUUAAGGAUAUUUUGAAUAAGAUAGCAAAGAUGAGCUCAAUAAAGUACUAUCAUGAACAUUGUUUGUAAUAUACAUGUGGUCCAAGUGGGAGAUUGAUAGAAUAAAUGUGGACCGACAAUAUAUUAAACAUUGUCUAGGAUUAAGCUAUCUUUUAACAUGCAAUUUCUGAUUUAAUCUUGAGUAUGGGCCACCUAAUGUGUAGAGCCCAAUGCCAUCACGGGCUUUAGAUGAUGGGCCUAAGGCCCGUGAGGCCCAAUAACCAAUGGGUAUGGUCCCUAAGGCAGGAGGGUAUAAAAGGGCUUUGGCUUGUGUCUUUUGUUAUCAUCACAUCUUUUGAAAAGAACUUAACCGCUCUCUCUCCCGCUCCCAUUGCCUGAGAGAAUCCAGAGGUGGUGCCCUCCAUCAGUCUUAGAAGAUUCAUACCGUCUUCAUCAAAACGUCAAAUAUGGAUUCAGGUUGGAUCUCUAUCCAAAGAUAAAAGAUCAAAGGAAUGUUUUAUGAAUGCUUGAUAUACAUAUAUCCUGUUUUGUGUUUUGGGUGAUAAUGGAUUUAGAAAUCUAACAUAUCAACCCAUGGAGAUCUGUGAGUUCUUCUGGGAUCUCACCAGAUAACUUAUUGCUUGAGAGGUCCAUGCCAGCUAGGAGGCCAAGUGUAUUGUCGUACUCGUACUCUACUCCUUUCAUAACCAGUAUUGCUGUGUCAAUUGAUCCCGCAUAAAUAAAAUCUUCAUUAUGAAAACGAAAGGGGGAACUUGAAUUUGAUUGUUUGGUCAUGCUGCUGAAAUUACCAAAGCAUCUAGGAAUGGUUCCCGAGAGAUUGUUGUUUCCCAAGUCCAGGAUUUGAAGGGAAUCAAGGUGGCAGAGUUCAAGAGGAAUACUUCCAGUGAACUUAUUUGAAUGAAGGACAAGAACCGUUAGACCCGGUGUAUAUGUAAUCUCACCAUCCCCUGGAAAUAUUUCAAUGAACUUUCCAUUGAAGUUCCCCAUCCAUGCUGGUAUCGUCCCAGUGAAUUCAUUCUUACUAAGGUCUAGAACCAUUAGACUAGAGCAAUUUUUCAAUGGAAGUGGAAAAUUUCCGGAGAGAUGGUUGUUGCGCAAGUGCAAUGAACCGAGCCAAAUUAAAGAACCCAUGGAGCUAGGUAUAUGUCCCGUCAGAUUAUUAUUUCCCAAUUUUAACAUCAUCAAUUCUCUCCAAUACAUCCAACAAUUGGGAAGUUCUCCUGACAGAAGAUUUCCUGAGAUGUCUAGAUACUCCAAUAAAUUUACCUUUUUAGUUCUCCGACACAACAUAGGUGAAAGAGAUCCACGGAAUAAAUUAUUGGAGAGGUCUAGUUGUGCUACAUCAGAAGGGAUUGGGGGCAGUGGAUCAGUGAAAUUGUUUGAGCCGAGAUAGAUAUAGGAUGAAUGUAAACUUGGAAUACUACCAAUGAUUUGGUUGUGAGAUAGAUCUACAGUCCUAAGGAAUCGAGUCCAAAACCAAGCUGGGAUGACACCGGAGAUUCCUGCAUAGGACAUGUUUAGAUAUUCCAAAUGCUUCUGUGUUUGAAGCCAUGCAGGAAAUUGAGGCCCUAGAAGGCAAGACCCCAAGUCUAAUGCUCUGAGUUGAAAAGGAGGAGUCCAGUUGGAGCUGACUUGCAAAGUUAACAAGUUUGAAGAUGCAUCCAAUUUUUCUAAACUUGUUAGAUUGGCAAGGUGCUUUUCAGAUAUAAUACCCUCGAAGAAGUUUUCCCUAAUUCGUAGAUAACGCAAGGAUGAAAUUCCUCCUAAUGAGAUAGGAAUAUGACCAGAAAACGAGUUUCUAUCAAUAGAAAGAGAGGACAAACUUUUGAAUUGGCCAAGUUCAUUGGGAAAAUAACCCGAAAGCCGAUUCAUUCCCAGGUCUAAAUGUUCUAAACUUUUACAUUCUCCAAGAGUAUCUGGAAAAGAACCUAACAGUUUAUUUCUUCUCAAGCUUAAAAACUCUAGACUUUUUCUAGGCCUAUUAUAUGACAAAUUCAAAAGUUGGAAACUACAAAGAUUUCCUAGAGAUCUAAAAAUUUCCACUUCAAGAGCAUUGUAUGAUAGGUCAAGAUAUGUGAUAGAAGUGAGAUUUCCAAUAUCAUUUGGAACGAUACCAUGAAAAUUGUUAGACUCAGUAUUGAGGGAUCCAAGAUCGAGGUGUUCAAGGCUAGUUAUAUGAUAUAACCAAUCAGGAAUAGGAGAAGUGAAGUAGUUAUAAGAAAGAUCUAGGAAUCUAAGAGAAGUCAUGUUACGAAGACUUGAUGGAAUUGGGCCCUGAAUAUUGUUAAAUGCUAGAUUAAGAGUAACAAGAGAAUUAAGAUUAGCAAACCGAUCAAAUGAUAUAGAAAUAAAAUAAUUAUUUGAAAGGUCAAGGAUGACUAGAGAUGAAAAAUUGACAUGUGGGAGAGGGUCAAUAGUUUGAAGCCCACACGUCGACAAGCGCAACACAGAUAAAGAAUGGAACUUGUUCAUUACCUGUAACCAAUUUGAUGCUUUGCUUAGGUUCACACCUGUCAUGUCAAGGAACUCUAGGAAGGUAAGACCAAAAAUCCACUCAAGAUCCUCAGCAUUCAAAUAAGAAUUCCCAAUGUCAAGAUAAUGCAACUUGGAUAAAUUUCCGAGUUGAUGAGGAAUAACACCACCAAAAUCUGCACUAGAGAGGUUAAGAUAUCUUAAAUUGGAGAGGGCACCAAAGAAUUUUGGAAUAUUAAGGAACCCAAAGUAAUUACAGCUCAAGUCCAAGUAUCGAAGAUGCUUCAAGUCCAACAAAGAACUACUUAUCUCACCACCCAGAGAACCAUGAUCUGGAUAAAGAUCCCGUCGGAGGUUGAGCUUGAGAACAUGUCCUGUUGUGUUGUGACAACGAACUCCUUCCCAAUUACAACACUCUUCACUGACCCAAGAAGAGAGUCUAUUUGAAGGAUCAUGAAUGCCUCUUUUGAAGCUCUAAAGAGCUUCUCUUUCUUCUUCUCUGCAAAGAGCCUUUGGACUAUGCCCAGCACAAAAACCGAACUUUGUGAUUGUAGUGAAAAGAAAAUAGAGCAAGAGAACCACUAAACCUCUCAUGUACAACUCCAUUAGGCGAGAUGAUUUUAGAGCACACAAUGUGAAGGGUUUCAAGGAUUAUCUAAUAUUUAUAGUCAUUAGAGACAUGGCCGACAAGACUAUAGUGUUGCCUUAUUCUAAAAAUUUCUGAUGUCGAUAGGUCAAUUUAUUGUGUUAAAAAAGGAUAGCUGUGGAGUGUGGACUAGCUGUGUAUACGGAUAGGUUUCGUGGAAAAGAAAAUACAUGAAAUGGCAUAAUUACACUUGCUAUGAUGUAAGUUUAGAAAAGUAUUUCCAUGUUCUGCAAUUUUAAGUAAAAUCCAAUACUAUUAAAGAUGACAUAAUUAUAUAUUUUAUUAAAUAUAUAAUGCCGAUCUUGUCUCCAAUAACUUGUCGGUUGGAGUUCACUCUGGCUUUGAUAUUUUUACAAACUAAAUAAUUUUUAUUUAAGGAGAAUCUUAUUAGUAUUUUAUUUUUAUCAUUUUUCAUGUUAUUCAAAUAUAUGUAAAUCAUUUUCUCUUAUAUUUUUCUCUUUUAUUUAAUUAGCAUGUUUUAGGAACCAAACUUCAUCUUAAAAUUUUAGAAUAAGUUCAUUGCAUAAAUAAUUAAAAAAACAUUUCAUACAAAUGAUGGUUAAUACAUGUAUAUAUAAGAAAGUACAAGACAUUAGUUUUUAGAAAACAUUGGAUAGGGAUGGCAACGAGAUGAGUUCAGGAUGGAUUAUCUCCAUCCCAACCUCAUCCCAUUUAUUUAUAUCUAUUUUGGCUCAUCCCCACAAAAAAAAAAAAAAAAAAAAAAAAAAAAACAUUUAAAGAGGGCAAUAAAUGAGAAAGUAUAAGACAUUAGUUUCUAGAAACCAUUGGAUAAGGAUGGUAAAGGAGCAAGAUGGAUCACUCUCAUCCAAAUCUCAUCCCAUUUAUUUAUAUCUAUUCUCAUCCUUGCUAAAAAAAAUAAAAUAAUAAAAUUAAAUAGGGUUGGGUAGAAUUGGUAUAGGAAAUUCCAAUAAUCCCCAUAUGCCUCAUUUAUUUUUUAUUUUAAAAAUUUUAAAUAUUAUCUAUCAAUAAAGAAAUAUUAUAAAUAUUUAUAAUUUUGAAAAGUAAUAUUUUAUGUAUGUUAAAAAAUUUUGAAAAAAAACAAAAAACGAAAAUAAUUUUUUUAUUUAGAAUUACAUAUAAUUGGGGUGGGGUAGAGUGGGAAAAAGUUGUACCUAAACUCGCCCCAAACCCAUCUUGGUUUUUAAAACUUCACAAACUUGUCUUGAACCCAUUUAUCUUUAUCCCAAUCUCUUCCUAUUUGGGGAGGGAUGGGUAGGUAUUCAAAAAAACCUAUUCCAUUGUCAUCCCUACUAUUGGACCAUGAUGAAAUUAUCAUACAUUUUAUAUUAAAGAGUAAAAAUCACUUUAUAAAAGUAGAGAUACAUGUAGUAUGUACCACGCAUAAAUAUAAUGUUACACAUUAAUGUUAUACCUAUAACAGUAUCAUGACCUUAGCUUUCUCCGUGUGAAAAAUUUUAAAAUAUCAAGGAUUAUUUUUGGUAGUAGAAGGAUGACUCUCUCUUACCGUGGUUGACUUGCAAGUAAUGAGAGUGACCGUGACAAAAUUUUCCAUGAAAAGAAGAAAAGAUGAUCAUAUGGUCUUGUCCUCUUUGUGAUUUCCUCUACCAUAUUGCCCAACUAGUAAAAACCAAUGUCAUGGGAAUAUGGUCUGUUUGCAAUUAGGCUUGGUCGUGCUUGACUAGCAAAGAGGCAAAUGACAAAAUCUUCUGGGUUUUCUAAGUUAAUUAAAAGAAAAAUGCAAUUUUUCAAAUGAAAAUGUAAUUUCUAUUUCUCCGAGGAUACAUAAAUUUGUAUCUCCUCAUUCAAUAUGCCUUAUACACGAAGUAGUUUUAGGAUCAUCAUUUUUUCUCACUAAAUAAAAGAAGCUAUUGGCAACAGUGAUAAGUAUAGCCAUUAGCAGCAAAAAGAAGAUCGUGCAACCUUUAAUCACAGCUACUUAAAAGCCCAUUAAAACUUGCUUGCAUUUUAUAGAUGUAUUUUCAUCUUCAUUUCCAUGAAGAAAAUUUGGCAAUCAAAGAUAUAAUAUAUAUAUAUAUAUCUGUAUAGAACUUCACAUGUAUAUCUCAUUAGAGGACAUCUAUUCCUCUAUUUGCAUACAUAAUAAUCCAAAUUAUAUGUUUUAAUUUUUUGGGUCAACUUUCCACAUAGUUAGGAACAAAUAAUGAAAAAAAAAAAGUCAUCUAUUGACUCUUCUCGCUACCCAACAGCAGAAGCAGACAAUUGGCCUGUAGGUAGUGAGGGCACGAGCUUGACCCAUAGGCUAUGAAAAUGAGAUGGCUUUUAAAAAACUGCAUGCAGAAAUUGAAAGAAAUGAAAUUUUAAGCAACACGCCAAUGUGUAUAUACACAGUGGACAAUGAUCUUUGCCCGUAGGUGGUGAAAAUGAGAUGGCUUUAAAAAACUGCAUGCAGAAAUUGAAAGAAAUGAAAUUUUAAGCAACACGCCAAUGUGUAUAGACACAGUGGACAAUGAUCUUUGCCCGUAGGUGGUGAGGCAUGAGCUUGACCCAUAGGCUAUGAAAAUGAGAUGGCUUUUAAAAAACUGCAUGCAGAAAUUGAAAGAAAUGAAAUUUUAAGCAACACGCCAAUGUGUAUAUACACAGUGGACAAUGAUCUUUGCCCGUAGGUGGUGAGGCAUGAGCUUGACCCAUAAGCUAUGAAAAUGGGAUGGCUUUUAAAAACUGCAUGCAGAAAUUGAAAGAAAUGAAAUUUUAAGCAGCACGCCAACGGGGAAUCUAAAGCUCAAAAUGUGGAAUUCCUGUUGUCAAUGCAAUAUAUAUAUAUAUAUAUAUAUAUAUAUAUAUAUAUUUCCUUCAACACAGUGGACAAUGAUCUUUGCCCAUAGGUAGUGAGGGCAUGAGCUUGACCCAAAGGCUAUGAAAUGAGAUGGCUUUAAAGAACUGCUUGCAAAAGUUGAAAGAAAUGAAAUAUAUAUAUAUAUAUAUAUAUAUUUCCUUCAACACAGUGGAAAAUGAUCUUUGCCCGUAGGUAGUGAGGGCAUGAGCUUGACCCAGAGGCUAUGAAAUGAGAUGGCUUUAAAGAACUGCUUGCAGAAGUUGAAAGAAAUGAAAUUUUACUCAGCACGCCAAUGUGGAAUUCCCGUUGUCAAUGCAUUUGAUAACGAAGUUCAGACUCAUAAAAUUAAAAGUUUAGAGUAAAGAGAGAAAUUGAAGUUGAAGGUCAAGCCAUGAAAAGCCUGGGAACUUGAGGGAUUAGUUUUAAAUUCAAUUCAGCCGGCCGGCCAAAGCCACAAAAGGAACUUGGUUUCUCCUGUUGAGUAAUGGUGUUUACAUAAGUCGGCCCCUUUUCUCCCUCAAUAUGCCUAAGACAUGGUUGUAGGGUCUUUCUAACAAGAACUGAAAGGAGUUGUUAAUUAAUGUGGUGAUAAUAAACUACAGAACUUUUGUCAUGAAACAAUUGCUAUAGGUUCAAUAUCAUUUGUGAUUUGCUUAUAAAUUUAUCCAGAAUUGUAUUUCAUAUCUCACUGUUAAAUGUGUCUUUAUUUUUCCUUCCAUUACUUCAUGUACCUUUUUCGAAUGGAUAAUGAUUCUAGAGAAUAUUUAGCAAUGUGAAAGAUUAAGGUAAUGUUUGAUAAAAUAAAAAAUAAUUGGCAAUGUGCACUUAAAUCCUUUUUUCCAUGGUUAUUCCUUGUGCUUCAAAUGUCCCUAUACGUUUAGUGCCUUGGCCUCUACGCUCUGAGCGAGCCUCAACCUUGUUAAGAGUGCCUCAUGUUCAUCCUUGUUGUUCAUAACAUCGAAGCCUAGGCAUUCGAAUGGCCUUCUUAGGGUCAUAUCUUUAGGAGAUACUAAGGCCACCCAUGCUUUUGUAUGGACGUGGCUGUAGCUGAGCUGUCCACCCUAAAUUCCCAUGGCAAACUUAUGCUUAGGUUAGAUUCUCAUGUCAUGUCUGAUUCUUUACUUUUCGUGAAGUCUACCAGGAAAUUUGCAACCAUUUAUGUCUUCAAGGUGAUUGGCAUACAUGAGUCUGUUAAUUAUUAAUCAUAGCUGGUUUUAAAGAAACUUUCAGAGUUCUUGGCAUUGUUAUAAUCCUUUUAUCUGGCAUUAGGAUUUCGUCUUUGACAAGCAAACGUUCAGAAUGAGACCCUUGGGUGAUAAAAUGAUUAUAUAAAUUGCAAAGGUUUAAGGAACUGCUACAACAAACCAUGGCAAUCAACUUUGUGGAAACUGAAUGGAGUAAAUUACAGUAAGAUCGCAAAGUACUUGAGGUUGCAGUGAGGCAGCAACUUCAUGAAAAAAGACAAGUCCAAGUGCAAAAGCUAUAUAAUUUUUAUUAAUGAUGCCAAGCUAUAAGCCACAAAUGGAUAAUAAAUGGUGAAUGAAAGACUAGAAAAUGGAGUCAAGAUGAUAAGACUGAAUAUGUGAGCAGUUGAAACAAAUAUGAAUAUUGAAAGUAUAAAGCGACAAUGAGGUAGUGAAUUUCAUUAUCAUUGUGGAAGUAGCUUGAAAAUGCUGAACUCACCUACCUCUGAAGAUACUUCAGCUGUGGUUGCCAAGAAAAGUGAGUAAAGGCUAGGAAAGAAAAUAAAAAUUUUAAAUCAAGGAACCACCUGGGGCGGAUUUCAUCUAGGAAGAAAGAAACAUUUUAUGGGUUUUGCAAUAACUCAAAAUUUUAUUUCACAGAUUGCUUCUCUUACAUAUACAAUGACAUGAGAUCUGUUUGCAGUGAUUAACAUUUCUCUUGAUUAGAUGUGUUAGACUGACACUUCUAUCCAAAUAUUUAUUUUUUUGGUGUUUUUGAGUCAUGAAAACUCCAUGUUAGAUUUAUCUGAGCAACCGAAAUUAAUAGUCACAAAAGGAAAGUUAGGAUAUGAGUGUUGGGUUUCCCUUCUUUGUGGGACUCUUAAAUUUACUAAAUAUGGUUUUGCUAUUUUUGGCCAACACCUUGGUUAGCACAUGACUCUUGGCAUAUUCAAGAUUGGUUUGAAGUCUUCAAGGAAAGAAAAAGCUACAAGUCUUUUUGUCUUUUCCUUGGGUUCAUUAUCUUGGUCGGAAAGAAGACUUUUGGGAUACCUUUUUGGUUCAAACAAAAUAAAAAGAAAAUCAGCCUUCUUCUUCUCUAUUUUUUUUUGGUGCUACACAAUCAGCAAGUUUGUUCUUCAAGUGGGUAACGUUCCUUCACUUGAUAUUUGGGGUUUCUUGCGGUUUGUUCUUGGAGAUUUGGUUUACUUUUGUGAGGUAUUUUUCCUCUUGUAAUUUACACCUUGGUGUGUUUGUAAGGCUUAUGCCUUUUGGCCACUUUGUAAACUCUUUUGGUGAUAGUGGAAGAAACUGACCUACCGGUCGUCGUGGACGUACCUCAAGUUAUUUGAGGGAACCACGUAAAUCUUGUGUGCUCAUUUAUUUUCUGUUAUUCUAUUUAUAUUGCUUCCAUUGAUUUACACUUGUGGGAAAGCCUAGUUUUUUUUCAACAUCUGGUAUCAGAGCUGUUGGUUAAUUCGAUUCCGAUUCGUUAUAUUUGUGUGUGUGAAUUAUGGACGGCAAUGUUGGGCGUAUGGUUAGUUUCAAUGGCACAAAUUGGGUGACUUGGAAAACUAAAAUGGAAGACCUUUUGUUUUGUAAAGAUUUGAAUGGACCCAUAGAGGGUGAUAGUGGCAAACCGGAAGGGAUGAAAGAUGACGAGUGGAAAAAGCUAGACCGAAAAGCUGUCGGUUUUAUUCGGCAAUGGAUUGAUGAUAGUGUCUUUCAUCAUGUCUCUACAGAAAAUUCAGCACAUGGUCUUUGGACCAAAUUGGAGAGUCUUUAUGAUAGAAAGACGGCCGUGAAUAAAGCUUUUUUAUUUCGAAAGCUUGUGAAUUCUAAAUAUAAGGAGGGUACUCCUAUUGCAGAGCAUUUGAAUGAGAUUAAGAGCAUUGUGAAUCAAUUGGCCGCCAUGAAAAUUACCUUUGAUGAUGAGUUGCAAGCUUUGUUACUUCUUAGUUCACUUCCUGAAAGCUGGGAAACUUUGGUGGUCACAGUUAGUAACUCCACACCUGAUGGAGUGGUAACAAUGAGUCAAGUUACUAGCAGCCUGUUGAAUGAAGAGACAAGAAGAAAAUCAUCAGGUUCUUCUCACUCCGAGGCACUUGUGAUAGAAAAUCGAGGGAGAGGCAGGAGUAAGAGUAAGGCUUCGCACAACCGUGAUAAAUCUAGAGGUCGUUCAAGCUCGAUUUCAAAGAAAGAUGUUGAGUGCUAUUAUUGUCACAAGAAAGGGCACAUGAAGCGGGAGUGCAGAAAACUCAAGUUCAAGGAGCAGAACAAAGAGAAAAAUUCAGAGAAAAAGCAAAAUGAUACAGCUGUAGUUACCGAUGGUGAACUCAUGAUUAUUCGUGAUGAUGUUAGCGUUAAUUUGAUUGGCCAAGAGACGGAUUGGGUAAUUGAUUCUGGAGCUUCAUUUCAUGUUACUUCGCGGGCUGAUUUCUUUACUUCUUACUCGCAAGGUGAUUUUGGGAAUGUCCGUAUGGGAAAUGAAGAUGUGUCAAAAAUUGUCGGCAUGGGUGACAUUUGCUUGGAAACAAAUACUGGAUGCAAAUUGUUGCUUAGAGAUGUGAGGCAUGUACCGGAUAUUCGGCUCAAUUUAACGGAACUGAUAUUUUUGCAAAAAUCUGCAAGUGUGUUGUGAAUACCUUAGAGAAUGACUCAUCCACCGAUUUAUGGCAUAGAAGGCUUGGACAUAUGAGUGAGAAAGGAUUGCAAGUUUUAUCCAAGAAAGAGCUUCUAGCGGGGAUAAAAGGUACGCCUUUGAAAACAUGUGUUCAUUGUUUCCAUGGUAAACAAAAUAGAAUAUCAUUCCGUAGAAACAUUGCAUUUAGAAAAUCUCAUGUUCUAGAUUUGAUACAUUCUGAUGUGUGUGGUCCUUUGAAAGUUAGGACACUUGGUGGUGCUCAAUACUUUGUCACUUUUAUUGAUGAUCACUCUAGAAAAGUUUGGGCUUAUACACUGAAAACUAAAGAUCAAGUUCUAGAUGUGUUUAAGCAUUUUCAGGCCAAGGUUGAAAGAGAAACUGGUAGACAGUUGAAAUGUGUCCGCUCGGAUAAUGGUGGUGAAUAUAUUGGACCAUUUGAUCAGUAUUGCACUAAUCAUGGCAUCAGGCACGAAAAGACAGUAAAAAAGACACCUCAACAGAACGGGGUUGCAGAGAGAAUGAAUCGCACCAUUCUUGAGAGAGUCAGAUGUUUGCUCUCACAUUCUAAAUUGCCAAGAUCUUUUUGGGGUGAGGAAAUGAGGACAGCAGUUGAUCUUAUCAAUUUGUCUCCUUCAGUUCCGUUGAAUGACAAAUUUGUCUCCUUCAGAUCUCAUGUACGCAAAUUGUUGUAUGACAAAUUUAAAUGGCUCAAAAAUGAUAUUUUUGCCAUACCUUGAGGAAUAACACCAGAAAGUCUGUUCAUGGAGAGAUCAAGAGACUCCAUUGAUGUCAUGGCCCCAAUCUUCACAGGAAUCUUCCCUUGGAGAUGGUUAUUAGACAGGUUCAAGAAUACCAAACCAUGGAGACCUGUGAGUUCUUCUGGGAUCUCACCAGAUAACUUAUUGCUUGAGAGGUCCAUGCCAGCUAGGAGGCCAAGAAUAUUGCUGUACUCGUACUCUACUCCUUUCAUAACCAGUGUUGCUGUGUCGGUUGAUCCCGAUUCAAAAUAACGUUCAUUAUGAAAAGGAAAGGGGGAACUUGAAUUCGAUUGUUUGAUCAUGCUGCUGAAAUUACCAAAGCAUCUGGGAAUGGUUCCGGAGAGAUUGUUGUUUCCCAAGUCCAGGAUUUGAAGGGAAUGAAGGUGGCAAAGUUCAAGAGGAAUACUUCCAUUGAACUUAUUUGAAUGAAGGACAAGAACCAUUAGACCCGGUGUAUAUGUAAUCUCACCAUCCCCUGGUAAUAUUUCAAUGAACUUUCCAUUGAAGUUCCCCAUCCAUGCUGGUAUCGUCCCAGUGAAUUCAUUCUUACUAAGGUCUAGAACCACUAGACUAGAGCAAUUUUUCAAUGGAAGUGGAUAAUUUCCGGAGAGAUGGUUGUUGCGCAAGUGCAAUGAACCGAGCCAAAUUAGAGAACCCAUGGAGCUAGGUAUAUGUCCCGUCAGAUUAUUAUUUCCCAAUUUUAACAUCGUCAAUUCUCUCCAAUACAUCCAACAAUUGGGAAGUUCUCCUGACAGAAGAUUUCCUGAGAUGUCUAGAGACUCCAAUAAAUUUACUUCUUUAUCAGUUCUCCGACACAACAUGGGUGAAAGAGAUCCACAGAAUAAAUUAUUGGAGAGGUCUAGUCUUUCUACAUCAGAAGAGAUUUGGGGCAGUGGAUCAGUAAAAUUGUUUGAGCCAAGAUUGAUUGAUGAAAAAUGUAAACUUGGAAUACUACCAAUGAUUUGGUUGUGAGAUAGAUCUACAGUACUAAGUGAUCGAGUCCAAAACCAAGCUGGGAUGACACUGGAGAUUCCUGCAUAGGACAUGUUUAGAUCUUCCAAAUACUCCUGUGUUUGAAGCCAUGCAGGAAAUUGAGGCCCUAGAAGGCAAGAACCCAAGUAUAAGUAUGUGAGUUGAAAAGGAGGAGUCCAGUUGGAGCUGACUUGCAAAGUUAACAAGUUUGAAGAUGCAUCCAAUUCUUCUAAACUUGUUAGAUUGCCAAGGUGCUUUUCAGACAUAAUACCCUUGAAGAAAUUUUCCCUAAUGUUUAGAUAACUUAAGGAUGAAAUUCCUCCUAAUGAGAUAGGAAUCUGACCAGAAAACAAGUUUCUAUCAAUGGAAAGGUAGGAUAAACUUUUGAAUUGGCCAAUUUCACUGGGCAAAUAACCUUAAAGCUGAUUCAUUCCCAAGUCUAAAUGCUCUAAACUUUUACAUUCUCCGAGAGUAUCUGGAAAAGAACCCGAAAGUUUAUUUCCUCUCAACCUUAAAAGCUCUAGACCUUUUUGAGGCCUAUCAUAUGACAAAUUCGAAAGUUGGAAAGUACAAAGAUUUCCUAGAGAUCUUAGUAUUUCUCCUUCAAGAGCAUUGUAUGAUAGGUCAAGAUAUGUGAUAGAGGUGAGAUUUCCAAUAUCAUUUGGAAGCUUACCUUGAAACUUGUUAGAUACAAUGUCAAGGGAUCCAAGAUCGAGGUGUUCAAGGCUAGUUAUAUGAUAUAACCAAUCAGGAAUAGAAGAAGCAAAAUUGUUAUAGGAAAGAUCUAGGAAUCUAAGAGAAGUCAUGUUACGAAGACCUGAUGGAAUUGGACCUUGAAUAUAACUGGAUGCUAGAUUAAGAGUAACAAGAGAAUUAAGAUUCGCAAACCAAUCAAAUGAUGAAGACAUAAAAUAAUUAAUUGAAAGGUCAAGGAUGACUAAAGAUGAAAAAUUGACAUGCGGGAGAGGGUCAAUAGUAUGAAGCUCACAAUAAGAUAAGCGUAGCACAGAUAAAGAAUGAAACUUAUUCAUUACCUGUAGCCAAUUUGAUGUUUUGCUUAGGUUCACAUUUGUCAUGUCAAGAAACUUUAGGAAUGAAAAACUAGAAAUCCAUUCAAGAUCCUCAGCAUUCAAAGAAUUUCUAUGGUCGUAAUAAGAAUUCCCAAUGUCGAGAUAAUGCAACUUGGAUAAAUUUCCAAGUUGAUGAGGAAUAACACCACCAAAACUUGCAGUAGAGAGGUUAAGAUAUCUUAAAUUGGAUAAGGAACCAAGGAAUUUUGGAAUAUUAAGGCUCCCAAAGUCAUUGCAACUCAGGUCCAAGUAUUGAAGAUGCUUCAAGUCCAACAAAGAACUACUUAUCUCACCACCCAGAGAACCAUGAUAUUGAUAAAGAUCCCAUCGGAGGUUGAGCUUGAGAACAUGUCCUGUUGUGUUGUGACAACAAACUCCUUCCCAAUUACAACACUCUUCACUGGCCCAAGAAGAGAGUCUGUUUGAAGGAUCAUGAAUGCCUCUUUUGAAGCUCAAAAGAGCUUCUCUUUCUUCUUCUCUGCAAAGAGCCUUCGAACCAUGUCCAUCACAACAACCGAACUUUGUGGCUAGAGUGAAAAGAAAAUAGAGCGAGAGAACCACCAAACCUCUCAUGUACAACUCCAUUAGGCUAGAUGAUUUUAGAGCACACAAUGUGAAAGGUUUCAAGGAUUAUUUAAUAUUUAUAGUCAUUAGAGGCAUGACCCACAAGACUAUAGUGUUGUCUUAUUUCUAAAAAUUUCUAACAUUGAGAGCUCAAUUAUUGUAUUAAAAAAGGAUGGUUGUGGAGUGUGGACUAGUUGUGUGCAUGGAUAAAUUUCAUGUAAAAGAAAAUACAUGAAAUGACAUAAUUAAUUACAUAUGUAAAAUGAAUCCUAUUAGUAUUUUUUUAUUCUUAUCAUUUUCCAUGUUAUUUAAAUAUGUGAAAAUCAUUUUUUUUUUAUAUUUUUCUCAUUUAUUUAACUAGUAUUUUUUAGGAACCAAACAUGGUAUUAAACUUAUAUAGAAUAAGUUUAUUACAUAAAUCAUCUAUAAAAAAAAUUCAUACAAAUGAUGGCUAAUAAUAUAUAUAUUAUUGAAUUAUUGUCCAUAGAAGGAUGACUCAACUCUCCUGCCGUGUUUGACUUGCAAGGAAUAUUGAGAGUGACCGUGACAAAAUUUUCCACAAAAAGAAGAAAAAAUGACAAUAUAAUCUUGUCCUCUUUUGUGUUUGCAAUUAGGCUGGGCCAUGCUAUUCAACACCAAUUAAUCACCCAAUCUAUUUAUAUAUUCAUAUCUGCAUAAAAUUAAACUUCACAUAUACAUCUAAUUAAAGGACAUUUAUUCCUCUAUUUGCAUACAUAAUAAUCCAAAUUAUAUAUUUUAGUUAUUUGGGUGAAUUUUCCAUAUAGUUGGGAACAAGUAAUAAAAAAUAAUGAAAAAAAAAGUCAACUAUUUAUCUUCCUUCAUGAUCAUGGAUAGAGCAAAAUAAAACUAGGAAAGAAUUCAAAUUCUUUUAUUUGGUUGGGAGGAAGAAUAUUAAAGGAAAAGUUAAAUUUGAUCAGAAUUAUGUAAAACAAUAUAUGUAUUUUAAAAUUCUUUAUUAUUUAUAUGACAACAAAAAAAACAAAUUUUAAAAUCAUGUGGAAAAAAAUUAUUAAUAUAUAAACAUAUUUAUAAAUAAAUAAAUAUUUAUUUAUUUAUUUUAUUUCUUUAAUUUUUUUUAUUUCAUUUUUUCCACUGUGUAUACCUUCAUCUAAAAUAAGUAAAUAUACAUUUCAACCCUUUUAUAUAAGAAAAAUUCAAUCUCUACUAUGUAUUGAUAUAAUCCACUUCUAAAAUUAGGUUAUAUGAAAACAUUUUAAUUGAGUACUUAAAAUAAAAACUCUCCAUCCAUCCUCUUUAUUUCUUUUUUUUUUUCUUAUUUUAAUAAGUUUUCAAUUAAUUCAAAUCAUUAAAAAAAUCCUUAAUAAAUAAAUUUGUAACAUUUCAUAUAACUUAUUAUUAAAAGUCAUGUUCAAAAAGUUAUUAAAAUAAGGAAGGAAGAAGAUUAAAAAAAAAUUAAACUUUUUAUUUUAUAAUAGUAAAAAAAAAGUUUAAAAUACUUUUUAGUAUAAAAAAAAUUAAAAUAGUGAAUCUAUUUAUUUUAAAUGGUAUUUGAAUCAUUAAAUUAUUUACUUCUAAAAUGUAAAAGAUAAAAAUAAAUGUAAAAUAUAAUUUUUAUUUAUUUAAAUUAAUAUUUUUUAAAAAAGUAUUUUCCAAAAUAGUCUUUGGAUCAUUAAUAUAAUUUUUAUUUAUUUAUAAUUUAAAAAUAAAAAAUAAUGUUAAAUUUUCAAUUAUUUAUAAAAGAGUUUAAAAAAAUAAUGAAAAAUCUAAUAUAGUUAAAUAAGAAAGAAUAGUGGCAAGUAGUAGGAUAAAAACAAAAAUGAGUCAAGUGAUAUUUUUGUUAAUUAUUAUCACAUAAUUACAGAUGAUUGGAGGAUUUUAUCUUAAUUAGAGAGAGAGAGAGAGAGAGAGAGAGAGAGAGAGAGAGAGAGAGAGAGAGAGAGAGAGAGAGAGAGAGAGAGAGAGAGAGAGAGAGAGAGAGUUUAAAAUAUCAAGAAUUAUUUGUGGUUGUAGAAGCAUGACUCUUUGUCCCAUUUUCUCCAAUUUUGUUGAGCAUUAAAAUUUUUGAAAUUGAAUUAUUGUCCUUAGAAGGAUGACUCAACUCUCUUGCCAUGCUUGACUUGCAAGUAAUGAGAGUGACCGUGACAAAAUUUUCCAUGAAAAAUGCAACAAGGCAAUCUAACACGUCUUUAUGCUGGGGGGUCAUCAUAGAAACAGUACACUCACUAUUUAUUAUAUUAAAAUAAAUAUAUUUGAUAAAUAAUUAAAAUAUUAUAAUUUUUUUUUAAGUAGAAAAAUAUAGGAUAAGACAAAAUAAUAUCUAAACCCACCCGAAUCCAACCCGAGUAUUAAAAAAAUCUCAAACCCACUGCAAACGUGUAUUCAAAUUUCAAAUUUGUCCUACGGAGUGGAAAAAACCCGCCCGGGACAGUUGCCAAAUCUGACUAGCAAAGAGUGUGGAAAGAUUUUCAGUGGUUGGAUUUGGCUUUUUAGGCGUUAGGUUUAGUGGUUGACUUGGAAAUGUGAUGCGCAUUAUUGAGGAUGCGCAAUAUAUCUAUAGAAACUUAGCCCAAUCAACAAGAUGGGGCUGUGAGUGGAGAAAAAAGCUAUGAAUUCUACUCAUAUUGUCGAUGAAAAAUUUGAGAAGAAACAUGAUGAUGUUUUUGGUAUAGUUGAUAAAAAAUUUAUUGACUAUUAAAUUUUACAUUCUAAAUGUUUUUUUUUUCAUGUGUUGGUAUAAGAAGUGGUUUGAUAUCUAUAGGAAUGUAAUGCUAAUAUUAUUUAAGUGGGCAAUGAUUCAAAAUUUAAAUUCAUAGUGAUUGGUACCAUAAAAGUGAGAGUGCUUAAUGGUGUUGUAAGGACAUCGAGUAAUUUUUUUUUCUCGGUGAAGAAUGAUAUUAUAAAUUUCAACAAAAGUGCUUUGAUAGCUAUGAAAGGGGAAAAGAUGAAAAAAUUAUGUACUUUAAUUGGAAAGAUAAUUUACGGUAGAGCUCUUAAGGUGGAGUCAUGCCAUGAAGAGUCUUUUACUGGUGUUAAAGAAAUUUUCAAGAGUAGAUGAACAUGAUAAGAUGAUUAGAACACUAUUUUUCGGCUAAAAGUACCCAUUGACAUAAGGAUGAAAGCAAUUUCAAAAUAAAUAAAGUAAUGAAGAAGACAAAGGCGGUUUCUAGAGUCGGGUUCAAUGAGAGUUUGAACUUGACAUAUGUUUAUUCUCAUUAAAUGUAUAGGAUUAAGAAAACUUAAGUCGAGAUGGAGAUUGUUGGUAUUUAACUGAAACUAUUUAUUUUUAAUUUUUAAGAAAGUUAAUAUUUAUAGAAGUUGUAUUUUUGUAAAUUAUUUAUUAACAAAAAGUAAUUGGAGCCGUUUGGAGCAAUAAGAAAAUUGUUUGCUAAGUUUGUAACUAGAUGCAUAAAAAUUCAUGCAUAUUUCAAUAUCAUUAAAAUUAGUUAAAAACUUUUGCAUUUUCCAAUUAUUUCAUUGUUAUAUAAAAGAAUUAAAACAGAUGAGAUGAGUUUAAAGUGACAUACAAAAUAAAUAAUUAAAUUUAAAUUUAUAGUUUUCUUUUUUAUUUUAUUAUUUUUACUUUUGCCUUUAUUUUUUUCUUUCACAUUUUUUUAAGAACCAAACAUGAACUUUAUAUGAAAUUCCCCAUAAAAAUAAAUAAUAAAAAAAGUAAAAAAUCGUAAGUUAAUGAAUCACAAUACUAAAAGUGUGUUUAACAGUGAUUACAUCAAACUUUUUUAAUAUUUUUAACAUUUGAAAAUUUUUAUCUUUUUAAGUGUCAGAAGGAUAAAAAACGCUUUCGACAAUCAUUGUUAAACAGGCUUUAAAGAUCUAUCUUAACUAACCAUUCCCUUCCAUAAUUACCAUAUUUUUCAUAAGUAAGAUGAAUUUUACAAAUACACAAUGUUAUUCACAAUGGAAGAAAUAUCAAAUAUAAAAACUCAUGUUUCUUCAAAUUAGGAUAUCAUUUCGAAGUUUUAGCGAUGAGGCUUUGGUAAAGUAGAUUGGGGCUGUGUGAGGGAGAGUAGAGACGAAGUGACUCGAUUUGGGUCUUUGACACGUUUUUAUUCCAUGCCAUGUCAUCCUCCAGCUUGGUAUCCAAUUCAGAUACUCAUUGAAGCUUAGGCGUGAAACUCUUCAAAGGGGAUUGUUCUUCAACUUUAGCCUUUUUUGUAUUGCCACUAACCACUAAAUAGGCGGAUUUUAGAAAAUGAAUACAGUAUUUUUUAAAAUAUGAUAAUUAAAAAAUUAUUUCCAAUUCCAUGACAAUUUGUAUGAUUUUUUUUUUUUUAAUACAUCAUUGGAAAACACAAGAAAACGACGUCGUUCGAAGCAGAACUGUAAAGCGCCCUUCGGCCUAGCAUCGACUCUCUUCACUGCAAUCGGUGGCUUUUGCGGUCUCUCUCUAGCUCUAGGUAUCAGAUCUCUUCGUUUAUUAAAAUUUUUCUUUGUUUGUUUGAUGAGAAACUAAAAGAAAAUGAGAUAGAUGGAAUGUUCUGAAUCCUAAAGUUUUCAUCAUUUACACCUGGUGGAAACAGAAUCUUCCCCUAAAUUAGCGUUGUAUGAGUAUUUAGCUGAAUUUAGAAUUUUCAAUUUCUUUUCUUUUCCUUAAUUUUAUCAGCACCCAAGCAGUCAUUUAGGGUUUUUCUGGCUUGAGAUAUUGGCAUUUGAUCUAUUUGAUUUUUAUUCUAGUUCAGAAAAAUGUAAAUAUAUUUGCUAAAGAAUUAGAAUAACCAAAAAUUGAUCAUGGAAUUGAGCUAAAAAUUUUCCGGUGCUGCAGAAACUUCAAAAACAAAAAAGUUUGUGUCUCGUCUUAAUUCACAUCCAUAUUUAGCGUUGUUGGGUGAAUUCAUCAAUAAGGAAAAAUGCAGUUCUUUGGAGGGUCGGAGAUCAGCCCAUUGCCGCCGCUGCCAACAGCAUCGGGAAACAAUGCCCACAUAAUGUAUGUGUUUAACAGGAAUGGGGUGUGCUUGCUUUACAGGGAAUGGAAUCGCCCUCUUAGGACUCUGAAUGCCCAGCAAGACCAUAAGCUCAUGCUUGGUCUCCUUUUCUCUCUGAAGUCCUUAACAGCUAAGAUGGAUCCCACUAGUUAUAUCUUCUUCCUAGUCUUUUAUUCGAAUUGGAACUGUUUUCGGGGUGUUUAGGUGUUUUGUGGAAAUGGAAUUACUUGAUUUUGUAUUUGGAUAACUUUUGAAAGCAUAAAUUCAUUGUUUGGAAUACAAUUAUAACAUAUAUGUAAGAAGAAAGAAAUCAGGAUGAGCAAAAGGACAUAAUUUGAACUGAUAAAUUCAAACUUGGGAUCAGUAAAAAAAACAUGGAAAACAAGGUUGCCAAAUUUAUUUGCAAUUACAAACACCAUCCGAGUAGUUUAUACUUCACGUCGUCCAGCAACCGAAAAUAAGCAUGUCUCCAAGCUCUGUUGAAUGCUAAUGGAGCCAAAAUGGCCCAAAAGCCAACCACGAAACCCCAUGGCAUACCCAAAUAGAACCAUUUCAUAUCAAUCCAUCCAUUGUCCUCUUCAUCAUCAUUGUCCGGAAUUGGACCUUUUGGUUUACCAUCUUCCCCACAACCAUCAGUCAGUGGAGCUCCACAAAGCUCCGGGUUGCCAAUGAAACUGAGGGGACUAAAGCCUUGGAUCUGGGUGCCUGAUGGAAUUUUGCCAGACAAGUUGUUGUAUGACAAAUUUAAAUUGCUCAAAAAUGAUAUAUUUGCCAUACCUUGAGGAAUAACACCAGAGAGUCUAUUCAUGGAGAGAUCAAGAGACUCCAGUGAUGUCAUGGCCCCAAUCUUCACAGGAAUCUUCCCUUGGAGAUGGUUAUUAGACAGGUUCAAGAAUAUCAACCCAUGGAGAUCUGUGAGUUCUUCUGGGAUCUCACCAGAUAACUUAUUGCUUGAGAGGUCCAUGCCAGCUAGGAGGCCAAGUGUAUUGUCGUACUCGUACUCUACUCCUUUCAUAACCAGUGUUGCUGUGUCGGUUGAUUCCGAUUCAAAAUAACGUUCAUUAUGAAAAGGAAAUGGGGAACUUGAAUUCGAUUGUUUGGUCAUGCUGCUGAAAUUACUAAAGCAUCUAGGAAUGGUUCCCGAGAGAUUGUUGUUUCCCAAGUCCAGGAUUUGAAGGGAAUCAAGGUGGCAGAGUUCAAGAGGAAUACUUCCAGUGAACUUAUUUGAAUGAAGGACAAGAACCAUUAGACCCGGUGUAUAUGCAAUCUCACCAUCCACUGGUAAUGUUUCAAUGAACUUUCCAUCGAAGUUCCCCAUCCAUGCUGGUAUCGUCCCAGUGAAUUCAUUCUUACUAAGGUCUAGAACCACUAGACUAGAGCAAUUUUUCAAUGGAAGUGGAAAAUUUCCGGAGAGAUGGUUGUUGCGCAAGUGCAAUGAACCGAGCCAAAUUAGAGAACCCAUGGAGCUAGGUAUAUGUCCCGUCAGAUUAUUAUUUCCCAAUUUUAACAUCGUCAAUUCUCUCCAAUACAUCCAACAAUUGGGAAGUUCUCCUGACAGAAGAUUUCCUGAGAUGUCUAGAGACUCCAAUAAAUUUACUUCUUUAUCAGUUCUCCGACACAACAUGGGUGAAAGAGAUCCACAGAAUAAAUUAUUGGAGAGGUCUAGUCUUUCUACAUCAGAAGAGAUUUGGGGCAGUGGAUCAGUGAAAUUGUUUGAGCCAAGAUUGAUUGAUGCAAAAUGUAAACUUGGAAUUCUACCAGAGAUUUGGUUGUGAGACAGAUCAACUGUAUCAAAGGAUCGUGUCCAAAACCAAGCUGGGAUGACACUAGAGAUUCCUGCAUAGGACAUGUUUAGAUCUUUCAAAUACUUCUGUGUUUGAAGCCAUGCAGGAAAUUGAGGCCCUGGAGCUGACUUGCAAAGUUAACAAGUUUGAAGAUGCAUCCAAUUCUUCUAAACUUGUUAGAUUGGCAAGGAGCUUUUCAGAUAUUAUACCCUCGAAGAAGUUUUCCUUAAUGCUUAGAUAACGCAAGGAUGAAAUUCCUCCUAAUGAGACAGGAAUCUGACCAGAAAACGAGUUUCCAUCAAUAGAAAGAGAGGACAAGCUUUCUAAUUGACCAAGUUCAUUGGGCAAAUGACCUGAAAGCUGAUUCAUUCCCAAGUCUAAACCCUCUAAACUUUUACAUUCCCCAAGAGUAUCCGGAAAAGAACCUGAAAGUUUAUUUCCCCUCAAGCUUAAAAACUCUAGACUUUUUCUAGGCCUAUCAUAUGACAAAUUCGAAAGUUGGAAAGUACAAAGAUUUCCAAGAGAUCUCAGCACGUCUCCUUCAAGAGCAUUGUAUGAUAGGUCAAGAUAUGUGAUAGAAGUGAGAUUUCCAAUAUCAUUUGGAAGCUUACCUUGAAACUUGUUAGAUACAAUGUCAAGGGAUCCAAGAUCGAGGUGUUCAAGGCUAGUUAUAUGAUAUAACCAAUCAGGAAUAGAAGAAGCAAAAUUGUUAUAGGAAAGAUCUAGGAAUCUAAGAGAAGUCAUGUUACGAAGACCUGAUGGAAUUGGACCUUGAAUAUAACUAGAUGCUAGAUUAAGAGUAACAAGAGAAUUAAGAUUCGCAAACCAAUCAAAUGAUGAAGACAUAAAAUAAUUAAUUGAAAGGUCAAGGAUGACUAAAGAUGAAAAAUUGACAUGCGGGAGAGGGUCAAUAGUAUGAAGCUCACAAUAAGACAAGCGUAGCACAGAUAAAGAAUGAAACUUAUUCAUUACUUGUAGCCAAUUUGAUGCCUUGCUUAGGUUCACAUUUGUCAUGUCAAGAAACUCUAGGAAUGAAAGACCAAAAAUCCAUUCAAGAUCCUCAGCAUUCAAAGAAUUGCUAUGGUCGUAAUAAGAAUUCCCAACGUCGAGAUAAUGCAACUUGGAUAAAUUUCCAAGUUGAUGAGGAAUAACACCACCAAAACCUGCAGUAGAGAGGUUAAGAUAUCUUAAAUUGGAUAAGGAACCAAGGAAUUUUGGAAUAUUAAGACUCCCAAAGUCAUUGCAGCUCAGGUCCAAGUAUUGAAGGUGCUUCAAGUCCAACAAAGAACUACUUAUCUCACCACCCAAAGAACCAUGAUCUUGAUAAAGAUCCCGUCGGAGGUUGAGCUUGAGAGCAUGUCCUGUUGUGUUGUGACAACGAACUCCUUCCCAAUUACAACACUCUUCAUUGGCCCAAGAAGAGAGUCUGUUUGAAGGAUCAUGAAUGCCUCUUUUGAAGCUCAAAAGAGCUUCUCUUUCUUCUUCUCUGCAAAGAGCCUUCGAACCAUGUCCAUCACAACAACCGAACUUUGUGGCUAGAGUGAAAAGAAAAUAGAGCGAGAGAACCACCAAACCUCUCAUGUACAACUCCAUUAGGCUAUAUGAUUUUAGAGCACACAAUGUGAAAGGUUUCAAGAAUUAUUUAAUAUUUAUAGUCAUUAGAGGCAUGACCCACAAGACUAUAGUGUUGUCUUAUUUCUAAAAAUUUCUAACAUUGAGCGCUCAUAAUUAAUUACAUAUGUAAAAUGAAUCCUAUUAGUAUUUUUUUUAUUCUUAUCAUUUUCCAUGUUAUUUAAAUAUGUGAAAAUCAUUUUUUUUUUCUCAUUUAUUUAACUAGUAUUUUUUAGGAACCAAACAUGGUAUUAAACUUAUAUAGAAUAAGUUUGUUACAAAUCAUCUAUAAAAAAAAAAAUUCAUACAAAUUAUGGCUAAUAAUAUAUAUAUUAUUGAAUUAUUGUCCAUAGAAGGAUGACUCAACUCUCCUGCCGUGUUUGACUUGCAAGGAAUAUUGAGAGUGACCGUGACAAAAUUUUCCACAAAAAGAAGAAAAAAUGACAAUAUAAUCUUGUCCUCUUUUGUGUUUGCAGUUAGGCUGGGCCAUGCUAUUCAACACCAAUUAAUCACCCAAUCUAUUUAUAUAUUCAUAUUUGCAUAAAAUUAAACUUCACAUAUACAUCUAAUUAAAGGACAUUUAUUCCUCUAUUUGCAUACAUAAUAAUCCAAAUUAUAUAUUUUAGUUAUUUGGGUGAAUUUUCCAUAUAGUUGGGAACAAGUAAUAAAAAAUAAUGAAAAAAAAAGUCAACUAUUUAUCUUCCUUCAUGAUCAUGGAUAGAGCAAAAUAAAACUAGGAAAGAAUUCAAAUUCUUUUAUUUGGUUGGGAGGAAGAAUAUUAAAGGAAAAGUUAAAUUUGAUCAUAAUUAUGUAAAACAAUAUAUGUAUUUUAAAAUUCUUUAUUAUUUAUAUGACAACAAAAAAAACAAAUUUUAAAAUCAUGUGGAAAAAAGUUAUUAAUAUAUAAACAUAUUUAUAAAUAAAUAUUUAUUUAUUUAUUUUCUUUAUUUCUUUAAUUUUUUUAUUUCAUUUUUUCCACUGUGUAUACCUUCAUCUAAAAUAAGUAAAUAUACCUUUCAACCCUUUUAUAUAAGAAAAAUUCAAUCGUUACUAUGUAUUGAUAUAAUCCACUUCUAAAAUUAGGUUAUAUGAAAACAUUUUAAUUGAGUACUUAAAAUAAAAACUCUUCAUCCAUCCUCGGUAUUUCUUUUUCUUUUUCUUAUUUUAAUAAAUUUUCAAUUAAUUCAAAUCAUUAAAAAAAAUCCUUAAUAAAUAAAUUUAUAACAUUUCAUAUAACUUAUUACUAAAAGUCAUGUUAAAAAAGUUAUUAAAAUAAGGAAAGAAGAAGAUUAAAAAAAAAUUAAACUUUUUAUUUUAUAAUAGUAAAAAAAACUUUAAAAUACUUUUUAGUAUAAAAAAUUUAAAAUAGUGAAUAUAUUUAUUUUAAAUGGUAUUUUAAUCAUUAAAUUAUUUACUUCUAAAAUGUAAAAGAUAAAAAUAAAUGUAAAAGAUAAUUUUUAUUUAUUUAAAUUAAUAUUUUUUUAGAAAGCAUUUUCUCUUUGGAUCAUUAAUAUAAUUUUUGUUUAUUUAUAAUUUAAAAAUAAAAAAUAGUGUUAAAUUUUCAAUUAUAUCAAUUAUCCCAUUUCUAAAAUUCUUUACUCAAUUAUUGAAUUCAAAAAGGACGGCUGUGGAAGAAAUAACAUUGAUUUCACAGAGAGAGAGAGAGAGAGUUUAAAAUAUCAAGAAUUAUUUGUGGUUUUACAAGCUUCUCCAAUUUUGUUGAGCAUUAAAAUUUUUGAAAUUGAAUUAUUGUCCUUAGAAGGAUGACUCAACUCUUUGACAAAAUUUUCCAUGAAAAAUGCAACAAGACAGUCUAACACGUCUUUAUGCUGGGCUGGGCUGGGCUGGAGGGGGGUCAUCAUAGAAACAGUACACUCACUAUUUAUUAUAUUAAAGUAAAUAUAUUUGAUAAAUAAUUAAAAUAUUAUAAUUUUUUUUUUAAAAUAGAAAAAUAUAGGAUAAGACAAAAUAAUAUCUAAACCCACCCGAAUCCAACCCGAGUAUUAAAAAAUUUUCAAACCCACCGCAAACGUGUAUUCAAAUUUCAAAUUUGUCCUACAGGGUGGAAAAAACCCGCCCAGGACAGUUGCCAAAUCUGACUAGCAAAGAGUGUGGAAAGAUUUUCAGUGGUUCGAUUUGGCUUUUUAGGUGUUAGGUUUAGUGGUUGACUUGGAAAUGUGAUGCACAUUUUUGAGGAUGUGUCUUUAUAAUAUUAUUAUAUCUAUAGAAACUUAGCCCAAUCAACAAGAUGGGGCUGUGAGUGGAGAAAAAAGCUAUGAAUUCUACUCAUAUUGUCGAUGAAAAGUUUGAGAAGAAACAUGAUGAUGUUUUUGGUAUAGUUGAUAAAAAAUUUAUUGACUAUUAAAUUUUACAUUUUAAAUGUUUUUUUUUUCAUGUGUCGGUAGUUUGAUAUCUAUAGGAAUGUAAUGCUAAUACCAUUUAAGGGGGCAAUGAUUCAAAAUUUAAAUUCAUAAUGAUUGAUACCAUAAAAGUGAGAGUGUUUAAUGGUGUUGUAAGGACAUCGAGUAAUUUUUUUUGGGAGCUUUGGAAACAUUAGGCUAUGAUUUUUCUCGGUGAAAAAUGAUAUUAUAAAUUUCAACAAAAGUGCUUUGAUAGCUAUGAAAGGGGAAAAGAUGAAAAAAUUAUGUACUUUAAUUGGAAAGAUAAUUUAAGGUAGAGCUCUUAAGGUGGAGUCAUGCCAUGAAGAGUCUUUUACUGGUGUUAAAGAUAUUAUCGAGAGUAGAUGAACAUGAUAAGAUGAUUAGAACUCUAUUUUUCGGCUAAAAGUACCCAUUAACAUAAGGAUGAAAGCAAUUUCAAAAUAAAUAAAAUUAUGAAUAAAACAAAGAUGAUUUCAAUGAGAGUUUGAACUUGACGUAUGUUUAUUCUCAUUAAAUGUAUAGGAUUAAGAAAACUUAAGUCGAGAUGGAGAUUGUUGGUAUUUAACUCAAACUAUUUAUUUUUAAUUUUUAAGAAAGUUAAUAUUUAUAGAAGUUGCAUUUUUGUAAAUUAUUUAUUAACAAAAAGUAAUUGGAGCCGUUUGGAGCAAUAAGAAAAUUGUUUGCUAAGUUUGUAACUAGAUGCAUAAAAAUUCACGCAUAUUUCAAUAUCAUUAAAAUUAGUUAAAAACUUUUGCAUUUUCCAAUUAUUUCAUGGUUAUAUAAAAGAAUUGAAACAUAUGAGAUGAGUUUAAAGUGACAUACAAAAUAAAUAAUUAAAUUUAAAUUUAUUGUUUUCUUUUUUAUUUUAUUUUUUCUACUUUUGCCUUUAUUUUUUUCUCUCACAUUUUCCUCACAUUUUUUGAAGAAUCAAACAUGAACUUUAUAUGAAGUUCCCCAUAAAAAUAAAAAAUAAAAAAAGUAAAAAAUCGUAAGUUGAUGAAUCACAAUACUAAAAGUGCGUUUAACAGUGAUUACAUGAAACGUUUUUAAUAUUUUUAACACUUGAAAAUUUUUAUCUUUUUAAGUGUUAGAAGGAUAAAAAACGCUUUCGACAAUCAUUGUUAAACAGGUUUUAAAGAUCUAUCUUAACUAACCAUUCCCUUUCAUAAUUAUCAUAUUUUUCAUAAGUAAGAUGAAUUUAACAAAUACACAAUGUUAUUCACAAUGGAAGAAAUAUCAAAUAUAAAAACUCAUUUUUCUUCAAAUUAGGAUAUCAUUUCAAAGUUUUAGUGAUGAGGCUUUGGUAAAGUAGAUUGGGGCUGUGUGAGGGAGAGUAGAGACGAAGUGACUCGAUUUGGGUCUUUGACACGUUUUUAUUCCAUGCCAUGUCAUCCUCCGGCUUGGCAUCCAAUUGAGAUACUCAUUGAAGCUUGGGCGUGAAACUCUUCAAAGGGGAUUGUUCUUCGGACUUUUCUCAAUAGUGCAGUAAUUUAAAAAAGUUAUUCUUAAAUUACUAUAGUGGAAGAAGUUAUUACAAAUAUAGGGUAGUUUUUGCCACAUAGGAGAGAGGAGAGAGGAGAGAGGGUGAGAGAGAGGAGAGAGGAGAGAGGAGAGAGGAGAUAGGAGAUAGGAGAGAGGAGAGAGGAGAUAGGAGAUAGGAGAUAGGAGAGAGGAGAGAGGGUGAACGAUAAAAUUUUUUAAAAAAGCGAACUCGUCUCUUGAAGAGACGAGUUCCAUGAAAGAUAAUUAUUCAAGGAAACUCAUCUCUUCAAGAGACGAGUUCCCAUUAAAAAAAAAUAUAUAUAUUUUUAAAAAAUUCACAAAUUAAAAAAAAUAAAAUAAAAUUUGGAACUAAAGGGAACUCGUGUGAAGAGACGAGUUCCCAUGGGAAAAAAAAUAUAUUAUUUUUUAAAAAUAUAUUUUUCAUUUAAAAAAAAUCCCAAAAAAAAAAAAAAUCCUAAAGGAACUCGUCUCUUGAAGAGACGAGUUCCUUGGGAAAAAAAAUAUUUUUUUUUAAAAAUAUAUUUUUUAUUUUAAAAAAUCCCAAAUUUAAAAAAAAAAAAAAAAAAAAAAAAACACAAUUCCAAAGGGAACUCGUCUCUUCAAGAGACGAGUUCCCAUGUAAAAAAAAAAUAUUUUUUUAAAUAUAUAUUAAAAAAAAAAAAAAAAACAAUUCCUAAAGGGAACUCGUCUCUUCAAGAGACGAGUUCCCAUGUAAAAAAAAAAUAUUUUNNNNNNNNNNNNNNNNNNNNNNNNNNNNNNNNNNNNNNNNNNNNNNNNNNNNNNNNNNNNNNNNNNNNNNNNNNNNNNNNNNNNNNNNNNNNNNNNNNNNAAAAAAAAAAUUUUUUUUUUAAUAUUUUUUUAAAAAAAAAAAAAAAACAAUUUUUAAUAGGAACUUGUUUUUUCAAGAGAGGGGUUUCCCUGUAAAAAAAAAAAAUUUUUUUUUAAAAUUUUUUUUUUUAAAAAAAAAAAUUCCAGGGGGGGGUUCAAAAAAAAAAUAUUUUUUUUAAAAUUUUUUUUUUUUUUUAAAAAAUCCCCAAUUUAAAAAAAAAAAAAAAAAAAAAAAACAAUUCCUCAAAAUUCCUAAAGAAGAGACGAGUUCCCAUGUAAAAAAAAUAUUUUUUUUUAAAUAUAUAUAUAUAUAUAUAUAUAUAUAUAUAUAUAUAUAUAUAUAUAUAUAUAUAUAUAUAUAUAUAAAAAAAAAUUUCAAGAGAUGAGUUCAAAAAAAAUAUUCUUUUUUUAAAAAAUAUAUUUUUUAUUUUAAAAAAUCCCAAAUUAAAAAAAAAAAAAAAAAACACAAUUCCAAAGGAAGAGACGAGUUCCCAUGUAAAAAAAAUAUUUUUUUAAAUAUAUAUUAAAAUAAAAAAAAAUUAAAAAAAAAAAAAAAAACAAUUCCUAAAGGGAACUCGUCUCUUCAAGAGUCGAGUUCCCAUGUAAAAAAAAAUAUUUUUUUUAAAAAUAUAUAUAUAUAAAAAAAAAUUUCAAGAGACGAGUUCAAAAAAAAUAUAUUUUUUUUAAAAAUAUAUUUUUUAUUUUAAAAAAUCCCAAAAUUAAAAAAAAAAAAAAAAAAAAAAACCAUUCCUCAAAAUUCCUAAAGAAAAAAGGUUUCCCCGUGAAAAAAAAAAAUUAUUUUUUUAAAAAANNNNNNNNNNNNNNNNNNNNNNNNNNNNNNNNNNNNNNNNNNNNNNNNNNNNNNNNNNNNNNNNNNNNNNNNNNNNNNNNNNNNNNNNNNNNNNNNNNNNGUUCCCCUGUAAAAAAAAAUAUUUUUUUUAAAAAUUUUUUUUUUUAAAAAAAAAUUUCCAGGGGGGGGUUCAAAAAAAAUUUUUUUUUUUUAAAAAUAUGUUUUUUUUUUUAAAAAAUCCCAAAACUAAAAAAAAAAAAAAAAAAAAAAACCGUUCCUCAAAAUUCCUAAAGAAGAAAUGAGUUCCCAUGUAAAAAAAAAUAUUUUUUUUAAAAAAUAUAUAUAUAUGUAAAAAAAAAAAAUUUCAAGAGGCGAGUUCAAAAAAAAUAUAUUUUUAAAAAAAUAUAUAUUUUUUAUUUUAAAAAAUUCCAAAUUUAAAAAAAAAAAAAAAAAAAAAACACAAUUCCAAAGGGAACUCGUCUCUUGAAGAGACGAGUUCCCAUGUAAAAAAAUAUAUAUAUAUAUAUUUUAAAUAUAUAUAUUAAAAAAAAAAAAAAACAAUUCCUCAAAAUUCNNNNNNNNNNNNNNNNNNNNNNNNNNNNNNNNNNNNNNNNNNNNNNNNNNNNNNNNNNNNNNNNNNNNNNNNNNNNNNNNNNNNNNNNNNNNNNNNNNNNCAAAUUUGGGGUUUUUUAAAAAAAAAAAAAUAUUUUUUAAAAAAAUUUUUUUUUUUCCUAAAAGGAACUUUGAAAUUUUUUUUUUUUUUUUUUUCAUGGGAACUUGUUUUUUCAAGAGGCGAGUUCCCCUUUGGAGGAAAUGUUUUUUUUUUUUUUUUUUUAAUAAAUAUAUUUAAAAAAAAAGUAUUUUUUUUUUUUACAUGGGAACUCGUCUUUUCAAGAGACGAGUUCCCUUUGGAAUUGUUUUUUUUUUUUUUUUAAUUUAGGAUUUUUAAAAUUUAAAAAUAUAUUUAAAAAAAAAUAUUUUUUUCCUAAAGGAACUCGUCUCUUGAAUAGACGAGUUCCCUUUAGGAAAUUUUUUUUUUCAAAUAUAUAUAUAUAUUUUUAAAAAAAAUAUUUUUUUUACAUGGGAACUCGUCUCUUGAAAAGACGAGUUCCCUUUGGAAUUGUGUUUUUUUUUUUUUUUUUUUUUUUUUUAAUUUGGGAUUUUUUAAAAUAAAAAAUAUAUUUAAAAAAAAUAUUUUAAAAAAAAAUAUUUUUUUUUCCAAGGAACUCGUCUCCCUUUAGGAAUUUUUUUUUUUAAAUAAAAAAUAUAUUUUAAAUAAAUAAUAUAUAUUUUUUCCUAUGGGAACUCAUCUCUUCAGACGAGUUCCCUUUAGUUCCAAAUUUUUUUUUUAAUUUGUGAAUUUUUUAAAAAUAUAUAUAUAUAUAUUUUUUUAAUUGGAACUCGUCUCUUGAAGAGACGAGUUUCCUUGAAUAAUUCUCUUUCAUGGAACUCGUCUCUUCAAGAGACGAGUUCAAGAGACGAGUUCGCUUUUUUAAAAAUUUUUAUUCCUUCACCCUCUCUCCUCUCUCCUAUCUCCUCUCUCCUCUCUCCUCUCUCUCACCCUCUCUCCUCUCUACUAUGUGGCAAAAACUACCCUAUAUUUGUAAUAACUUCUUCCACUACAGUAAUUUAAGAAUAACUUUUUUAAAUUAAUGCACUAUUGAGAAAAGUCCAUUGUUCUUCAACUUUAGCCUUUUUUUGUAUUGCCACUAACCACUAAAUAGGCGGAUUUUAGAAAAUGAAUACAGUAUUUUUAAAAAUAUGAUAAUUAAAAAAUUAUUUCCAAUUCCAUGACAAUUUGUAUGAUUUUUUUUUUUAAAUACAUCAUUGGAAAACACAAGAUAACGACGUCGUUCGAAGCAGAACUGUAAGGCGCCCUUCGGCCGAGCAUCGACUCUCUUCACUGCAAUCGGUGGCUUUUGCGGUCUCUCUCUAGCUCUAGGUAUCAGAUCUCUUCGUUUAUUAGAAUUUUUCUUUGUUUGUUUGAUGAGAAACUGAAAGAAAAUGAGAUGGAUGGAAUGUUCUGAAUCUUAAAGUUUUCAUCAUUUACACCUGGUGGAAACAGAAUCUUCCCCUAAAUUAGCGUUGUAUACGUAUUUAGCUGAAUUUAGAAUUUUCAAUUUCUUUUCUUUUCCUUAAUUUUAUCAGCAUCCAAGCAGUCAUUUAGGGUUUUUCUGGCUUGAGAUAUUGGCAUUUGAUCUAUUUGAUUUUUAUUCUUGUUCAGAAAAAUGUAAAUAUAUUUGCUAAAGAAUUAGAAUAACCAAAAAUUGAUCGUCUUAAUUCACAUCCAUAUUUAGCGUUGUUGGGUGAAUUCAUCAAUAAGGAAAAAUGCAGUUCUUUGGAGGGUCGGAGAUCAGCCCAUUGCCGCCGCUGCCAACAGCAUCGGGAAACAAUGGCCACAUGAUGUAUGUGUUUAACAGGAAUGGGGUGUGCUUGCUUCACAGGAAUGGAAUCGCCCUCUUAGGACUCUGAAUGCCCAGCAAGACCAUAAGCUCAUGUUUGGUCUGCUUUUCUCUCUUAAGUCCUUAACAGCUGAGAUGGAUCCCACUGAGUAUAUCUUCUUCCUAGUCUUUGAUUCGAAUUGGAACUGUUUUCGGGGAAAUGGAAUUACUUGAUUUUGUAUUUGGAUAACUUUUGAAAGCAUAAAUUCAUUGUUUGGAAUAGAAUUAUGACAUAUAUGUAAGAAGAAAGAAAUCAGGAUGAGCAAAAGGACAUAAUUUGAACUGAUAAAUUCAAACUCGGGAUGAUUAAAAAAAACAUGGAAAACAAGGUUGCCAAAUUUAUUUGCAAUUACAAACACCAUCCGAGUAGUUUAUACUUCACGUCAUCCAGCAACCGAAAAUAAGCAUGUCUCCAAGCUCUGUUGAAUGCUAAUGGAGCCAAAAUGGCCCAAAAGCCAACCACGAAACCCCAUGGCAUACCCAAAUAGAACCAUUUCAUAUCAAUCCAUCCAUUGUCCGGAAUUGGACCUUUUGGUUUACCAUCUUCACCACAAUCAUCAGUCAGUGGAGCUCCACAAAGCUCCGGGUUGCCAAUGAAACUGAGGGCACUAAAGCCUUGGAUCUGGGUGCCUGAUGGAAUUUUGCCAGACAAGUUGUUGUAUGACAAAUUUAAACUGCUCAAAAAUGAUAUAUUUGCCAUACCUUGAGGAAUAACACCAGAGAGUCCAUUCAUGGAGAGAUCAAGAGACUCCAGUGAUGUCAUGGCCCCAAUCUUCACAGGAAUCUUCCCUUGGAGAUGGUUAUUAGACAGGUUCAAGAAUAUCAAACCAUGGAGAUCUGUGAGUUCUUCUGGGAUCUCACCAGAUAACUUAUUGCUUGAGAGGUCCAUGCCAGCUAGGAGGCCAAGUGUUUUGUCGUACUCAUACUCUAUUCCUUUCAUAACCAGUGUUGCUGUGUCGGUUGAUCCCGAUUCAAAAUGUUCAUUAUGAAAACGAAAGGGGGAACUUGAAUUCAAUUCUUUGAUCAUGCUGCUGAAAUUACCAAAGCAUCUAGGAAUGGUUCCCGAGAGAUUGUUGUUUCCCAAGUCCAAGAUUUGAAGGGAAUGAAGGUGGCAGAGUUCAAGAGGAAUACUUCCAGUGAACUUAUUUGAAUGCAGGACAAGAACCAUUAGACCCGGUGUAUAUCCAAUCUCACCAACCCCUGGAAAUAUUUCAAUGAAGUUCCCCAUCCAUGCUGGUAUCGUCCCAGUGAAUUCAUUCUUACUAAG
rnacentral:lncRNA from 1 species